rnacentral:rRNA from 1 species
AACGUAGGAGGCGAGCGUUAUCCGGAUUUACUGGGUGUAAAGCGCGUGCAGGCGGUCGGUUAAGUUGGAUGUGAAAGCUCCUGGCUCAACUGGGAGAGGUCGUUCAAAACUGGCUGACUAGAGGAUGGUAGGGGAAGGUGGAAUUCCGGGUGUAGUGGUGAAAUGCGUAGAUAUCCGGAGGAACACCAGUGGCGAAGGCGGCCUUCUAGACCAUCUCUGACGCUCAGACGCGAAAGCUAGGGUAGCAAACGGG